rnacentral:rRNA from 1 species
AUACAGAGGGUGCGAGCGUUAAUCGGAAUUACUGGGCGUAAAGCGCGCGUAGGCGGUCUAUUAAGUCAGAUGUGAAAUCCCAGGGCUCAACCUUGGAACUGCAUCUGAUACUGGUAGACUAGAGUUUUGGAGAGGGAAGUAGAAUUUCAGGUGUAGCGGUGAAAUGCAUAGAGAUCUGAAGGAAUACCAGUGGCGAAGGAGACUUCCUGGCCAAAAACUGACGCUGAGGUGCGAAAGCGUGGGUAGCAAACGGGAUUAGAAACCCCAGUAGUCC